AGGCAAUUCCCUGGAUUAACCCUUAAAAGGAAGAGAUAACAGUAUGUAGCUUUUAGGUAGCUUAGAACGUUGGUUAGGUCCGUUAGGUCCGGAACGGCUUCAACCGAAAUCUGAGCACUUCAUCUUUCCGUACAGUAAUUUCAAUCCUAAAGAAGGGCUUUCCUUUUUCUCGUGUUACCAGGGAAACAGAAAGGAGGGGUCCAUUCUCAGUGGCCUGCUUAAAGCUGCACCUAGCUAGCUAGCUACCUGGCCCUUUUCAUCUGGUUUUAGAGACAGGGUCUGUGUCUUUCAGACUGGCCUCAAGCGUAUCACGUGGCAACUCCCACUUCCGCGUCUGAAGUGCAGAGGUUAUAGAUGUGUCUGUCCCCUUAUCUGACUUAUUUGGUGCUGGGAAAAUCCAACCCAAGGCUUGCUACCUGAAGCCCGGGUUGUUUUGUUGAUGUUGUUGUUUGUUUUGUUUGUUUGUUUGUUUGCUUACUUUUAUCUGACUUGCCCAGUUCUUAGGCCUAGUCUCCUAGACUGACAAUUUGAAACCUGUCAUAGCCUUCUCAGUCUAUAAUGCAGAGGGAGCAAGAGCCUGCCUAGACCAAGCUCUGGAGGAACUGGGAUGAACCUGAGGUGAGGUUACAGUUCACCCUCACUACAGGGUUUGCUGCCAAGGGAGAAGACAGUAGGGAAAAGGGUCGGGAGAGGUCGGCUGGUGUGGGGUGCUCAUUUGUUUGGACUGGUCUUGCAGUAACCUGGUUUAUCUGGCCCCUGCCAUAUUGGCAGAGGCACCUGUUUUGUCAUGGGUGCUGCUGGAGCUUGCCGAGCAACUCUGGUGCGAGCCCCAGUGGAAGGGACUAACUGUAACUGCGCCCAUGGAAGGGGCGAACUGUGUGUUGAUUGUCAUUCCCUGUGUUUGUUGGUUAUCUUGUUCUGUGUUCUUGGACAUCGGACUGACAAUACCUUUGGACGUUGGACAGACUGUAUCUACCUCAUUAAACAUCCUAGAUAGCCACAGGAGGGAAGUUAGGAAAAGAGGAAAAGAACAAGUGAGUUACUCUGUGUUCCUCCGAAUGGCCCACUCUCGAAGUAGGGUAGCCACCUGUGUGGACCUUUGACUUGCAGGUGAUCAAAGCGGGAGAGGAGAGAGUCUUUAAGCCAGGAGCUCUCAGGCACCCAUACCAAGUGACUUAUGUAGAUACCUGGAAAAGUCUAGUGGAGGACACUCCCCUCGUGAAUAAAAGCCUUUCUUUCCCCAAGACCCACCUCACAGGUUCAGGCUGUCAUGAGAAGUUGAUCCUCCAAGACCCUUUACCAGCAGACCCGUUGCUCCAGGACCCUCCUCCUCCAUAUCCCCCUACCCUUGCCCCCCUGGUCCCACCAGCACCAGUAGUGGUUCUGGGAUCCUCUGUCCAUAUGGAACCAGGGCUAUUGCACCCCCUUUACUGGAGGGAGGAACGGGAGGAGACCCCCAACUUCUCAGUCCCACCAUGCGGACACAAAGUCUGAGAGCCACCUCCCCUGAUACCAUGGUGGCUCUCCCACUAAUGGUGUAUGGGCCUCUGAAAAAGGGCAAUCAGGCUAUGCAAUAUUGGCUCUUCUCUUUGGCCAACUUGUACAACUGGAAUGCAAAGCCCCACCCCUUUCCAAGAGGCAGAUUAAUCUCUUUGAGACUGUUUUAUUUAUAAUGCAGGAAGCCAGAAACUAGAAAGAAUACCCCUUGGACACAGGGGCACCAUUGAUUGACCAGGCUGUCGUGGACGUGGACAGCAGGCUCUCCCUGACUAGACCUGACUGGGACUUUAAUAUGGCAAAAGGCAAGGGGCACCUGAAGGUUCCCCCACCGCACUCCACUGGCAGGUUUCAGGGGCUGCAUGACGACCCACACAUUUGACCAAGGUACAUGAGGUUAAGCAGAGACCAGAUGCCCAGGCCUCCCCCGAGUAUGUGCGCCAAUAUCCGAUGUUGAGGGAGGCCCAGGAUGCAACCAGGCUGCACGCUACCAGGCUCCUGGAACAAGGGAUCCUGUGGAAGUGCCAAUCACCUCGGAAUACUCCCCUCCUGCCUGUGAAGAAACCUGGGGCCCAAGACUAAGGAGGACUGUCUAGAGGGGACUAAACGGCUCUUGGAGGAGCUGGGAGGACUGGGAUACAGAGCCUCAGCCAAGAAGGCCCAAAUCAGCCAGAGAAAAGCACUCAAAUCGAGGCUCCUAAUUAUAGAGAGUUCCCUCUAACACCCAGAGCUCAGUGAGGAGCCCAAAGUGCUUCCCAGCACUGGUUUGCCAUCCCUCUCUUACUUCAGGCCCUCAAGGCCUACGUUUGUUCUCAAUUGUGGUAAAACCACCUGGCCUGCGGAGCGCCAUACAGUUGAGAGCCAAGACUGUUCCCUUGAGUAGCUUUGAACCUGUACUGCCAUCUUGCUAUCUGCUGCACCCCCGGCUUGAGAACCAACCCUCAGUUGACAAAUACCUUCUUUAUUAUCCCCUGAACAUCUGCUCGUGGGUUUAUGCUUCAAAGGGGGACUGCUUGCUCGAGUGCUUUUCAAGGUCGUAGUGUCAGCGUCCGAGACUGACUGUGACCCUAACUGCUUAGAAGCAUUUUCCUGCGGUGAAUAAAGUUGCUUUUGGUUUAAUUCUGA